rnacentral:rRNA from 1 species
CCUACGGGAGGCAUCAGUGGGGAAUAUUGGGCAAUGGAGGAAACUCUGACCCAGCAACGCCGCGUGAGUGAUGAAGGUCUUCGGAUUGUAAAGUUCUUUUCUAAGGGAAGAAGAAAGUGACGGUACCUUAGGGAUAAGCCUCGGCUAAAUACGGUCCAGCAGCCCCGGUAAUACGUAGGAGGCGAGCGUUAUCCCGAAUGACUGGGCGUAAAGGUUGCGUUGGUGGUUUGGCAAGUUAGUAGCGUAACUCCCUGGCUCAACCUUGGAACUACUACUAAAACUGUUGGACUUGAGUGCAGGAGGGGCAACCGGAAUGCCUGGUGUAGCGGUGGAAUGCGUAGAUAUUAGGAGGAACACCAGUGGCGAAGGCGGGUUGCUAGACUGUAACUGACACUGAGGCACGAAAGCGUGGGGAGCAAACAGGAUUAGAUACCCUUGUAGUC